rnacentral:misc_RNA from 1 species
GAGAAAAUCAGUGAAAGAAUGAAAUUCCUUCAAGAUCUUGUUCCUGGUUGCAACAAGGUGACCGGGAAAGCAGUAAUGCUUGAUGAGAUUAUAAACUAUGUGCAGUCAUUGCAGCGGCAGGGUGAGUUUCUAUCAAUGAAGUUGGCAACUGUUAAUCCAAGAAUGGAUAUUAGCAUGGAAGCUCUUCUGUCCAAGGAUAUUUUUCAAUCUCGCGGAUCUCUGUCACAAAAUCUUUAUCCAUUGGAGACCUCAGCAGCACUAUCAUUCCCUUAUGGUUACCGGUCCCAGCAAGGGAUAGCCUUGCCUAAUGGCAUGUUUAGUAAUGGAGAAACUCAAUUCUCAACGAACCCUUUAAAUGCUGUUUUGAAGCGAAACCAAUGUAUGCAGUUGCCUGCACUUGAUGGAUUUGGAGAUGCAC